AGUGAACGCUGGCGGUAGGCCUAACACAUGCAAGUCGAACGGCAGCACAGUAAGAGCUUGCUCUUACGGGUGGCGAGUGGCGGACGGGUGAGGAAUACAUCGGAAUCUACUUUUUCGUGGGGGAUAACGUAGGGAAACUUACGCUAAUACCGCAUACGACCUACGGGAGAAAGCAGGGGAUCUUCGGACCUUGCGCGACUGAAUGAGCCGAUGUCGGAUUAGCUAGUUGGCGGGGUAAAGGCACACCAAGGCGACGAUCCGUAGCUGGUCUGAGAGGAUGAUCAGCCACACUGGAACUGAGACACGGUCCAGACUCCUACGGGAGGUAGCAGUGGGGAAUAUUCCACAAUGGGCGCAAGUCUGAUCCAGCCAUACCGCGUGGGUGAUGAAGGCCUUCGGGUUGUAAAGCCCUUUUGUUGGGAAAGAAAAGCUGCAGAUUAAUACCCCGCUGUUCUGACGGUACCCAAAGAGUAAGCACCGGCUAACUUCGUG
rnacentral:rRNA from 1 species